rnacentral:lncRNA from 1 species
UUUUCUUUUGUAUGUUCAGUUCGACAUAUGGUGGUUCUUCAGAUCAACAUUGUGUGCUUUUUUCAAUUCAUCCUGCGGGUGAAAAAAGGAGCUCCCUUUUAGUCCAAAUGGAUCCAAAAAAUGGGUGAUGCAUUACAGUUCAAGACUAUUCUGUUGGUUUAGGCUCCAUCUUGCUAGUUUGGCAAACAUUUUUUGCAUCUACUUGCGGAUGGCUUCCAUUUUGUGCUCCCAUGGGUGUUUGUUCUUAUUCCUGAAAGAAAGAAAAUAAUCUAUUGCAUGUGAUAGUUCAUCUGAUUUGUAUGAAUUUUUUACCUAUUUUGCUCCAUUUUUUCCCUUGCAGAUCAUGAUCUUGAGAGGCUCGCUGUCGAGACUGAAGGUAAAUUCCAUUUUCCAAUGGUUCUUUCAGUAGUACUGUUUCAGUCCAAGUUUUCCCAAGACUAGUACUGGUAAUUGUUAUUUCACUAUGUAUUCUUUCCUCAGUCCAUGAAACAUGGGAAAAGUUUCGAUCAUGUCAGAUAUAUAGUUCAAUUUUAUAUAUCAUAAGAAGAAAAGAACAUGUUUUCUAUACGAGAAAAUCAAAAACAUUAUUAGCAAUUCACUAUGUAUUCUACCGUCAGUUCUGUGUGUGUUAGAGAGAGGGUUCGGUGUCUCAUUGUUUUCACUUGCCCCGAAAAAAAUAUAUUCUGUUGCAGAUUAGGAACAUUGUAUUUAGAUUUUUUUAAACAAAGAACUAAUCAGUUCAUAUAAGUUCAAAUGACAAAUCGUCGAAAGUUCAAUCAAAAGCUCUCACCACUUUCCUUUCUAUUUCUUAAUGAUUGUACGGCAUUUCAAGCAUUGAGCAAAAGGGAUUAGUAUAAAUUGCAGAAGUAGUUGCAGGAUGCUUAAGUUCUUUUGACUUUUUUUUCUCUCAUUCUACAUGUACUGACGAGUUGUCUCAUUUUUUCUGGUUUCAAAAGUAGAAGGGGUACAUGUAGAUGCUGGACUACUCAGGGGUCAGGGCCUUUGCCGCUGAUGUUGUGUUUUGUUAGGUCAACACGAAGUACUAGAAUUAUUUUGCAGGAAGCGAAGGCAGUGAGAAGAUGUUCCAGGUGACACGCCCUUCCAUCAAAACAAAAAGUUCAAACAUAGCAAAAAGUCACAGAAAAGGAUGUGAACAUAGUAUACUCCCAUGGUUGUAUGAGUAAACAUACACUAAGUGUAGGCGUUCACCAUGUGCUUUAUCAUCAGUUCAAAAAAAAGCUCUGUGUGUGCUACUGAAAUUGACAUGGUUUAGUUUGCUUUUACUUGUAUGCUACUGAUAGAUCAACAAUAUUUGCUUGUGUACUGAAGUGACUAAUUUGAACCACACUGCUUGUGUACUGAUGUUGUUUGCUUUUGUACACCUGCUUAUAUUUUUUGUGGGAGUCCCAAGUAUAAUUGUUUAAAAAGUACAAAUGAAUGUCUGCAAAAAAGAAAAGAAAAAAAUAUUUGUCGCAUCUCAACAUAAAAAGAAAAUAAAAAUUCAGUAGAUCAAAGGUGAGAAAACAAGAUGUUUAGAAUAAAAAGGAACUUAAAAGAAUACACAGGAAGUUCCCAGUGUGAAAAGAACAUUACGAUCGUGCAAUAUAAAAU